rnacentral:lncRNA from 1 species
CAUCAUCAGAAUAAGACUAGAAGUUCCUCACUUUGGGAAGGCUCCCUUGGAUGUAUAUGUUCUAGCAUGUUUGCUAUCAAGGGACACAUCACUUUAUGCUUAUUGUGCAGAGCUAUAGAAAAUAUGUGGACUUCCAUAUAUUCCUAGGUCAGAGAAAUGGCAGCUGGAUCCAGGAAGAUGAGAAAUUUGAGCAGGCUUAGAAGUUGGCAGCCUACAACACAUUGAUUUGUGUCUUUUUUUUUUUUUUCAAGCCUACCUUUUCUUUGUCUUUUUCUGAUUUAUAAAGCUACAAAACCAAAUAUAAAUCUUGUAUUUGUAAGCCACUUUCCACAUUAUUCAUCUAAUAACCCUCUGUGUGGCAUACACAUUAUUUUUUCCAUAAACUGAAGCACCAUAGAGGGUGAGAAUGACUUGUCCAUUAUUUGGAUAUACAAUUUAUCUAUUCAUUCUUUUAUUGAUAGACAUUUCAGCUAUUUACACUUAGGGACUUUUAUAAAUAAAGUUACUAUGAACAUUAUUGUACAGGUCUUUUUGUGCAUUUGUGUUUUCAUUUUUUGCCAGGUCAUAUAAUAGGUGAAUGCUUAUUAGAAAUUGAUCACCAGUUUUCCAUAAUGGUUUUUUACCAGUUUACAUGCCCACAAGUGGCGUCCAAGGGUUACAGUUCACUACAUCCUCAUCAAUGCUUGGUAUUGCAUCUUUGGUUUUAGCUAUUCUUGUGGGUAUGCAGAUGUAAUUCAUUGUGGUUUUAAUUUGUAUUUCCCUGAUGGCUAACAACUUUGAGCAUUUUAUUACAUGUGACCUGGCCAUUUGAAUAUCUUCCUCAGCACCAAAAGGAAUGAACUAUUGCUAUUCGCAAUAACAUGGAUUAAUUUCAAGCACACUGUGUUGAGU